rnacentral:rRNA from 1 species
UACAGGGGGGGGUAAGCGUUGUUCGGAAUUACUGGGCGUAAAGGGCUCGUAGGCGGCCAACUAAGUCAUACGUGAAAUCCCUCAGCUUAACUGGGGAACUGCGUGUGAUACUGGAUGGCUUGGAUUUGGGAGAGGGAUGCAGAAUUCCAGGUGUAGCGGUGAAAUGCGUAGAUAUCUGGAGGAAUACCGGUGGCGAAGGCGGCAUCCUGGACCGACAUUGACGCAUGACGGCGAAAGCUAGGGGAGCGAA